AACGAACGCUGGCGGCAGGCUUAACACAUGCAAGUCGAGCGCCCCGCAAGGGGCGCGGCAGACGGGUGCGUAACGCGUGGGAACGUACCUUUUGGUUCGGAACAACUCCGGGAAACUGGAGCUAAUACCGGAUAAGCCCUAACGGGGAAAGAUUUAUCGCCGAAAGAUCGGCCCGCGUCUGAUUAGCUAGUUGGUGAGGUAACGGCUCACCAAGGCGACGAUCAGUAGCUGGUCUGAGAGGAUGAUCAGCCACACUGGGACUGAGACACGGCCCAGACUCCUACGGGAGGCAGCAGUGGGGAAUAUUGGAAAAUGGGCGCAAGCCUGAUCCAGCCAUGCCGCGUGAGUGAUGCAGGCAUUAGGGUUGUAAAGCUCUUUUGUCCGGGAAGAUCAUGACUGUACCGGAAGAAUAAGCCCCGGCUAACUUCGUG
rnacentral:rRNA from 1 species